rnacentral:rRNA from 1 species
GAUGAACGCUAGCUACAGGCUUAACACAUGCAAGUCGAGGGGAAACGACAUCGAAAGCUUGCUUUUGAUGGGCGUCGACCGGCGCACGGGUGAGUAACGCGUAUCCAACCUGCCCAUCACUUGGGAAUAACCUUGCGAAGGUAAGACUAAUACCCAAUGAUAUCCCACGAAGGCAUCGGAAUGGGAUUAAAGAUUUAUCGGUGAUGGAUGGGGAUGCGUCUGAUUAGCUUGUUGGCGGGGUAACGGCCCACCAAGGCAACGAUCAGUAGGGGUUCUGAGAGGAAGGUCCCCCACAUUGGAACUGAGACACGGUCCAAACUCCUACGGGAGGCAGCAGUGAGGAAUAUUGGUCAAUGGGCGAGAGCCUGAACCAGCCAAGUAGCGUGCAGGAAGACGGCCCUAUGGGUUGUAAACUGCUUUUAUAAGGGAAUAAAGUGGGUCACGUGUGACUUUUUGCAUGUACCUUAUGAAUAAGGACCGGCUAAUUCCGUG